GUGUCAGCAGCCGCGGUAAAACGUAGGAGGCUAGCGUUAUCCGGAUUUAUUGGGCGUAAAGCGUGUGCAGGCGGUUUAGUAAGUUGGAUGUGAAAGCUCCCGGCUUAACUGGGAGAGGUCGUUCAAAACUACUAGACUAGAGUAUGGGAGAGGGAGGUGGAAUUCCGGGUGUAGUGGUGAAAUGCGUAGAUAUCCGGAGGAACACCAGUGGCGAAAGCGGCCUCCUGGACCAUUACUGACGCUUAAACACGAAAGCUAGGGUAGCAAACGGGAUUAGAGACCCCGGUAGUCCUAGCUGUAAACGAUGUAGACUUGGCGUUGGCGGAGUUAAAUCUGCCAGUGCCGAAGCUAACGCGUGAAGUCUACCGCCUGGGGACUACGACCGCAAGGUUAAA
rnacentral:rRNA from 1 species